AGUGAACGCUGGCGGUAGGCCUAACACAUGCAAGUCGAACGGCAGCACAGUAAGAGCUUGCUCUUACGGGUGGCGAGUGGCGGACGGGUGAGGAAUACAUCGGAAUCUACUUUUUCGUGGGGGAUAACGUAGGGAAACUUACGCUAAUACCGCAUACGACCUACGGGUGAAAGCAGGGGAUCUUCGUACCUUGCGCGAUUGAAUGAGACGAUGUCGGAUUAGCUAGUUGGCGGGGUAAAGGCCCACCAAGGCGACGAUCCGUAGCUGGUCUGCGAGGAUGAUCGGCCACGCUGGAACAGGAACACGGUCCAGACUCCUACGGGAGGCCGCAGUGGGGAAUAUUGGACAAUGGGCGCAAGCCUGAUCCAGCCAUACCGCGUGGGUUAAGAAGGCCUUCGGGUUGUAAAGCCCUUGUGUUGGGAAAGAAAAGCAGCAGGUUAAUACCCCGCUGUUCUGACGGUACCCAAAGAAUAAGCACCGGCUAACUUCGUG
rnacentral:rRNA from 1 species